rnacentral:rRNA from 1 species
GAUGAACGCUGGCGGCGUGCCUAAUACAUGCAAGUCGAGCGAACAGACGAGGAGCUUGCUCCUCUGACGUUAGCGGCGGGCGGGUGAGUAACACGUGGAUAACCUACCUAUAAGACUGGGAUAACUUCGGGAAACCGGAGCUAAUACCGGAUAAUAUAUUGAACCGCAUGGUUCAAUAGUGAAAGACGGCUUUGCUGUCACUUAUAGAUGGAUCCGCGCCGCAUUAGCUAGUUGGUAAGGUAACGGCUUACCAAGGCGACGAUGCGUAGCCGACCUGAGAGGGUGAUCGGCCACACUGGAACUGAGACACGGUCCAGACUCCUACGGGAGGCAGCAGUAGGGAAUCUUCCGCAAUGGGCGAAAGCCUGACGGAGCAACGCCGCGUGAGUGAUGAAGGUCUUCGGAUCGUAAAACUCUGUUAUUAGGGAAGAACAAAUGUGUAAGUAACUAUGCACGUCUUGACGGUACCUAAUCAGAAAGCCACGGCUAACUACGUG